rnacentral:lncRNA from 1 species
UCCAUCUUUAGAACGCUCCUCAUCAUGCCACCUCAAUGAAUCUGCUAUCUUUGAGCAUAUAAAUAGCCUUUUAAGUCUAGGAACUAAUGGAAAAUAUCUCAAAACUUUUACUAGAACACGAUGAGGUUUUUUAGAAGUCUCAACAACCUCACAAUCUACUUCAGGAGGUUUUCAUAAAGUCCUUCAGCUUGUGCAACAU